rnacentral:rRNA from 1 species
AGUCUGGUGCCAGCAGCCGCGGUAAUUCCAGCUCCAAUAGUGUAUAUUAAAGUUGCUGCAGUUAAAAAGCUCGUAGUUGGAUUUUGAAUUAUAAAAAUUUAACAUUCAUCUUUUAGAUGUGAUUUAAUUUUUAUAUUCUUCCUUUUGAUACGCUCCAUUAAAUUAUAUUUUUUGGAUUUAAGUGUUUCAAAUUGUUUACUGUGAAAAAAUUAGAGUGUUCAAAGCAGGCGUAACCUAGCCUUUGAAUAUAUUAGCAUGGGAUAAUGAAAUAGGACUUUAAUCCUACUUUCGUUGGUGUCUAGGGCUAAAGUAAUGAUUAAUAGGGAUAGUUGGGGUCACUAGUAUUUAAUUGUCAGAGGUGAAAUUCUAAGAUUUAUUAAAGACUAACUACUGCGAAAGCAUUUGACAAGGAUGUUUUCAUUAAUCAAGAACGAAAGUUGGGGGAUCGAAGAUGAUCAGAUACCGUCGUAGUCUCAACCAUAAACUAUGCCGACCAAGGAUCCGAGGUUGUUAAUAUGGAUGACUCUUCGGGCACUUAUAGAGAAAUCAUAAGUAUUUGGGCUCCGGGGGGAGUAUGGUCGCAAGGCUGAAACUUAAAGGAAUUGACGGAAGGGCACCACAAGGAGUGGAACCUGCGGUUUAAUUUGACCCAACACGGGAAAACUUACCAGGUCCAGACACAGUGAGGAUUGACAGAUUGAGAGUUCUUUCUUGAUUCUGUGAGUGGUGGUGCAUGGCCGUUUCUAGUUGGUGGAGUGAUUUGUCUGGUUAAUUCCGUUAACGAACGAGACCUUAACCUAUUAAAUAGUUAUUUGAACUUGAUUUUUAAAAUCAAAUGUUUAAAAAACUUCUUAGAGGGACUCUUCACUGAGAGAGUGAAUGGAAGUUUGAGGCAAAAACAGGUCUGUGAUGCCCUUAGAUGUUCUGGGCCACACGCGCGUUACACUGACAUAUUCAACGAGCAUUAUCCUUACCCGUCGGGGUUGGGUAAUCUUUUAAAUGUAUGUCGUGCUGGGGAUAGAUCAUUGUAAUUAUUGGUCUUGAACGAGGAAUUCCUAGUAAGUGCGAGUCAUCAACUCGCGCUGAUUACGUCCCUGCCCUUUGUACACACCGCCCGUCGCUCCUACCGAUUGAAUGGUCCGGCGAGAACUCAGGAUGGAUAUGGAUUUUGGACACCGUUAGGUGCUCCAACCAUAUCCAGAAUUUGUUCAA